GUUUUCGAGUUAUCGCUUUUGCGCAUGCGUACAUUCAUUGUCAAGCAGCAGAGAGUGCACGCCAAAAACACGUGAAGCCCUAAUUAAAAGCCUAGUUAUAACUGUUUUUUACAAUUGAAAUAAACACAAUCAAUCAAGAUGCCUGCUGCAGUUAAAGACUCGCCAAACAAGGUCUUUGUGAGCAACAUUCCUAAGACAUGGGACGAUGCGAAAUUAGAAUCAUUAUUUGUCAAGUUCGGCAAAAUAUCCCAAGUAAACUUGAUGAAACACAGAGAGACCGGAGAAUCUAGAGGAUUUGGCUUCAUCACAUAUGAAAGCGAGGAGGAUGCAAAUGAUGCUAUACAGGGAAUGAAUGGAAAGGAUAUUGAAGGAGUGGAGCUGAAAGUAGAUGCUGCCCUCAAGUCUCUACACUCAGGAGGAGGAGCCGGUGGUGAAAGGGGAGGCAGAGGGGGCUUCAGAGGAAGAGGAGGCCCAAGAGGAAGGGGAGGACCUCUUCUGCGUGGGGGUCCAAUGGGGGGCGGGUUCUCCCCAAGAGGCGGACCAAGGGGUGGCUUCAUGCCAAGGGGGCGUGGCGGCCCAUUCAGAGGAGGUAUGGGAGGUGAAGAAGGAGGAAGUCGAGGGCGUGGUCGAUUUGAUGGACCACCACGAGGCGGACCACCUAGGGGCGGACCAAGGGGUGGUAUGAGAGGGUCACCAAGGGGUGCGCCUAGAGGAGCACCCAGGGGGGCACCAAGGGGACGAGGUGGGCCAGGAAGACCACUGAUCGACAGACCUCCCAUGGAAGAAAUGGACCAAGACGCAGGGUUCAACGGGCCCAGGGGAACCAGACCUCUACUUGGUAAAGAGCCCCUUUUACAAGAUCCUGGAGCACCAGAUUACCAUCAAGCUCGGGAACCCAUGGGACAUCCCGCCGAGAGAGCCCCAGAAGGAUAUCGCGUUGGUGGAUACGCCGAAGGGGGACUGCUACCAACACACGAAGCCCAAUGGGACAACACUGUCAGCGGAGAGCAGGGUGGAGGUUAUUCCGGAGGUUUGCUACCAACGCAUCAAGCACAAUGGGACGAUGCAACCGAGCAGGGUGGCGGAUACCCCGAACGAGGUUUACUUCCAACUCGCCAAGCACAGUGGGACGAGGCACCUGUGAGAAGAGAACAGGAACCCCUCAUGCGUGAGAGAGAGGCUAGGGCGCCACCUCAAAUGGAGCGUCAUGCAGCAGAGCGCCCUCGCUCUUCCUUCCCUCCAGAGCGUGAAGCAGGCUAUGGCGGCCGUGGUGGCGCUGGUGCUGCUCCUGCUUCCCAGUAUGGAGAAGAGAGCUAUGGUGGAGCCCGAGGUGGAGGCGCUGGACGUGGUGCCGUCCAGGAGGAGUACGGCCAGCAGAGCCGUGGAGGAGGAGGAGCCUAUGACUACGCCGAGUCCAGGCCUGCCAGGGCAGAGUAUGGGGCUGCUUCAGCUGCUGCCGCUGAUCCGUACCGCUCCAGGGCUCCCUAUGGAGCCAACAGUGAACCAACUCCAGCUCGCCAAACCAGAGAAAGUUACGGCGAGCGUGACUACGCGCCUCAAGCUCGAAGCGCCGACCCCUACGGUGCUGCUCCAUCGGCUGCAGCAUCUCGAGGAUACGGAGCCAGGGAGCCUGCCCUCCCCCGUGAUGCACCCAUGUCCCGUGAAGCACCAAGGGGACGCGACCCAAUGGCCGCCCGGGACUACGCCCCUCCUGUCCGUGGCCAGAGGGACUAUGCUGAACCGGCUAGGCGGGAAGAGACUGUAGGGGAUUACGCCAGGGGAGGCUUUGCAGAGGAAAGACAAGCAUCUUCCUUUUCCUCAAGAACCUAUGAUGAAUAUGAGAAAGCCAGUAGCCGGGGAUAUGGUGCUGCCUCAGACAGCUAUGGCUCUGCCAGGGACCCUGCUGGAUGACUUGCAGCUGUGGUGUCAUUUGAAAGUGGUACAACAUUCACUGCUGCCCUGGUGUAGCAGGUUGUCACGUGACCAGUCACCUGACUACCAUUGCAAGUCACAUGACUGGAUAGCAGCUGAUCUCUAACAGAGAAAGACGACAGAAGAAGUUUGCUGCUGGUUUUGCCAAGGUUCCUGUGGCUCCUGGAGGAAUUGGCACCUACGAUGAACAAACCUCGGAAGACUAGGAUGAUGCCACUGCUCAAACUGCUGCAGCACCCAGCGAGAACUAUUUUGUUUCUGACCUUCGGAAGUCUGGGCUGUUGCUAAUGCCAAUGCAGUACCCGCUGCUGCUCCUCGAACUGGUGCCACUUCUUAUGACCGGACCAUUAUGUAAAACUGGAAAGUUGAUGUAUUGCAUUUAAAAUUGACAUAUCAAUUUAUUGAUUUGUUGAUGGAAGAAAGGAAGUGUAAAAAAAUGUUUCUUUAAUAAUAAAGCAAGU
rnacentral:misc_RNA from 1 species